AGCAGGCGUUUAGUGUGUGCGGGAGAAAGGGCGUCGUUAAAGAAACAAUGCCCUUUCUCCCGCACGCACUAAACGCCUGCUAU
rnacentral:miRNA from 1 species